ACCAAUCACAGGCAACCUUCAGACACCACCAAUCAUCCUAAAAACACUAAAAGUCACACAACAGCAAAAACUAAACACUGGCUUCUUGUUUUCAAAUUCGGUAUCAGACACCUGUGGUUAAGGCCUUUAUUGAACCGUCUUGACAAGGUGACCCUGCUGGAGUCCAGCGGGCGUGUUGGAGGGCGGGUGGAAACCUACAGGAAUGAAGAGGAGGGCUGGUACGCUGAGCUGGGGGCCAUGAGGAUCCCAAGUACCCACCGCAUCACAGCAGUCUUCCUGCUCUGUAGGAACAGCAUCGGUAAAACCAAACAGCUGGGCAGACUGAACCAGAAUCCAGAUGUCUUCACCAAACACUCGACGCUGUAGUCCAGCAGAUCUGAUUGGUCUAGAGCGAGACAGGCUCAGGUAGAUGACGGGAUGAACGACAGCCAGGUAGCGCUCCACACAGGUCAGGAUGUGAAAGCCUAUCUGGCCAGUGACAGUAAUAGAAGACGCACAAAACCCCACUUCGGUGAGCUCUGAGAGGUCAGUAUAGAUGCCACAAAAGGCGAUCAAAGUCCCAAACACAUAGAGGAGCUCCAUAGCCGCCGCGUAGAAGGUGAAGACGUCCGAGUGCCUCGUCGGUGCAGAAGAGCUCUGCCGCCAUUGUUGGUAACCCAGGUAGAGGAUGAGGAUGUUGAGGGGGAGGAUGAGCAGGAUCUUUGUGAUGUUGAAGGCAAUGCUCAUGAAAACUACAGCUUCGAUGUCUACGCAGGAGUAAUGGUCGGAAGAAGAGUUGACGGACAUAUUGGUCCUUAUGCUUUUGCUUUUAUGAUGAAAAGGGAGAAAGAAAGUGAGAAACUAAUUAAUUAAGACAAUGAGACAACAAUCACCUUCGAUAAAAAAAUUAUUAAAGUGAUUUGAAACAUUCAUUGUACAGUUAUUUUGCAUAUGAAGCAGCAUAUACUGUCUACAAAGCAGCAUAUACUGUAUAUUUUCUAUAAUAUUGCAGAUUUUCUAUUGUAUACAGACUUACUAACUGCAACUUUAAAAAUGUGCUCAGGAAAACCUUAAAUAGCAUCGAGAAAAGUUUUCGUUCACACAAUCUGUCGUAACAUGAGGAGUUUUGGUUAAAAAUGAAUAAUUUGGUCAUGAUAUGUUACAAUAACAGAAAAAUUAAGUUAUGGUACAACGUGAAUGAGUUUCUAAAGUGUCAUGCAAGAAACGUUAUGGAAGUCAUUGUUGCUAAAUAAAAGAUGAAAUACUUAGACCGGCUUACGAUCUCAUAAUCUAUACUUAAAUGUGUUUAUUCUUCAAUUGGUAGUUACUUUUCAUGAUUUAUUUUACUUGUUGAGCCAGUCAUGCUUCUGUAUAAUGUUGCUAUUAAUAAUAAUAAUGCAUUUUAUUUGUAACACACUUUACAUUCAAAAGAAUCUCAGAGUGCCACAUAGUAAAAAAACAAAAAAACAUAAU